AGUUGUGUCCAUUCAUCCAUGCAGCCAGAGGAACAUUUGCGACCCUGCUGUCUUACCUGCUGCCAAGGAACCGUCAUGGACUUGAGGAAACUUCUCCCUGGCAAAACAGACGUUCUGGAUGGCGGUACUGCCUCUCACAGGUCAGCCUCGGUACUACAACAUACAUGUAGUUUGGGGGACUCGACAUGGCUGGUGAAGAUAUUGCUAUA